UACAGGACCCAGAAAAUGGUAUCCACUGUAGUUCUUGGAAGUGCUUGGCUUUCCUCUCAUCUUUUAUUUUGUUGCUGGCUGCCUUCUCUUCUCACCUAUGAUAAUGUGGGUCACCUUCUAUAUAGGCAAGUAGAGCCCCCGCUUGUAUUGUGAUUUCUGAGAUGCUAAGAGGUCCCCAAUCCUCCUUCUUGAUAGGCUGCCUAGUACUUGAACUGCCACCAUAUUAAGUACUUAUUUCUUCAAAUCCUUGUGAUCAGAAGUAGUGUUUGGUGAAUCUCAAGCAACGGUCUCUAGGGAUAAGAUUCCAGAUAAAAUACAAAACACCCAGUUCAAUUUGAGUUUCAGAUAAACUACAAACAUUGACUGCAUCACUAGAAGAAGAAUGAUGAAUCAGGUCAUGUUACUCAACCAAUGUUAUUAGCUUGCUUCCCAAGAUGGGAGGCUUUAAAAAUUAGGCACCAUAAACCUCGAUAUACUGGAAAUAAAGCUUUGUGUUUUUAAAUAAAUGAACAUAUUUAGAAUGGAUGGUUUUCUUUUCAUGUUGAUAAUGUUUCUGCUUUUCCUUUUGUUCCUCUUGUUUACAGAUCCUUUAUGCAUUGAAAUAAGAAAGUAGAACUGUUUCUGGGUCCCAGCUGCAGGAAGAGCUCCUGUUGCUGUAGAUUCUGACUUCUGGGUCUUGGGGCAGGGGAUGGCCAGCAAGCUAAGCUGUCCUGAGGGUGUGCCGGGCCAGGGGCUGAAUCAGUGUUGGAGCAUCCACAGACUGGUUUGUCUGAAGAGGCAUGUUACUAAAUAUGAAAUACCAAAUCUGCAAACUUUGAGGUGGAUACCUUUAUUAUGAAACUGGUGCAAAGAAGAGAAACGUGUUUCAAAUAUCACUGUGGUAGAUUGAUUGCAAAGUGGUUAUAAUUCUUCAUUAUUCCUGGCAUCCACACUCUACAAUGUGACUUCACAGCUUUUGACUGUUCUUAUGGCUUCUGUUUGGACAAUAGAACCAGGCUUUGCUGACAAUGUCCUAGUUCUGAGCCUAGGUCUCAAGAGACCUCCCGCUCUUCUGCUUUUUCUCUUGGAAACUGCUGGGCUGCCAGAUGCACAAGCCUGGACUAGCCUGUUGGAGGAUGAGAGACCACGUGGAGCCAAUAAGCCAUUCUAGCAGAGAGUGUCCUAGACCAGGCAGCCUCCUGAAGACAUAGGAGAGAAUCCAGAUGAACUCAGAUGAGCCUGGCCCAGAUUGGAAGAAUCAUCAAACUGAUUGCUGAACAGUGAGCAAUAGUAGAUAGUUGUUUUACGCUACCGAAGUUUGGGUGCUUGUUAUACAGUAAUAAAUAACUGCAACAAUGGCCCAGGUAAUACUAUUACUCUAAAUUAGGUUUCCUUACCCCAAAGCCCUUUGCCUUUAACCUCUAGUCACUAGUGACACACUCUCAUGCACUCCACCUUGUUCACCAACACUAUCUGCUUUAAUUCGGCCUUUCUCUUUCCAGUAGGCUCUGGUAGCAUCAAUUACUGGUUGCCCAUGACAUUCAUUUGCUAGCAGAUCCCUGUGACACUUGGAGAGAGAUUCCUAUUCCAACUCUAAGGGUGAAUCUUGAUUUUAAAAGCCAGCAAUGGUCGCUGCAAUCCCUUCAUGGGCCAUUAAUUAGGGGUGAACAUGUGACCCCUUUCUGACUAUGAGAUAGACCAGCACACCAACUGGGAACAUCUGGGAAAGGUUUCCUCUUUCUAAGGACAGAAACACCAGAAAAAUACAGCUUUUUAGCUUUUGUAUACUGCCCACCAUCUUGCAACAAUAAGGGGCCCUGACUGAGGCUGAAGUUAAGCUGAGAGGGGCAAAGUGCAGACAUGGGAGAAACAUGGAACCCUGUUGAGGUCACUGGGACACAGGUUGAAUCAAGCCUGGGAUCCACACUGCUCUUCUUUUGAAUUUUCCCUUCUGUUAAGUCAUUUGAAUCUUUCUGUUUUUUAACUUGCAGACAAAAGCAUCCUAAGAGUUAGAGCUUCCAUCAUCAGUUAAAAGGAACCCAGCCUCUUGCUUGCCCUUUAUUUUCUACAAAAACCAAAACCGAAGUGCACACAGAAGCUUAUUCCCUGGAGGCAGACCCCAUCUUCUGGGAGCCCCAUGCUUGAGAUGCAUCUUGUCACCUUUUGACUGACUUCAGCAGUAAGCAGCUGCCUUGAGCCUCAGAGCAGGAUGGCUGCAGGAUGGGAGAAAAGGAGAGGAGUUUUGAGAAGUGCUGGGACCAUGAUUGAAGUGUAGUCAGAGAUCCAAGGAAGCAAAAAUGUUCUACCAGUAUGUGUUCUCAGAGGCAGUUUCCCUUUUGGUUGGUCCCAACUUUUUCUCCCCAUUCCUGGACUCCCAGGAAGCCUGUGGUAUGUGUCAUUAUUCAGGGGUGACAAUUUAGCUUUUACUGUUCUGGCACAGAUGUGGACUCAUCAAAACAGAGGACUACUGUGGUUCUGGGGAGGGAUUUAGAAGAUUCAGUUUUUGGGUCAUGGGCAAGUGGGUGCAUAGUUGGAGGAGAGUGAUCCUGGAGAAAGGGUCAGGGCAGGAAGGGUAGAAGAUGCAUCCAGGGGGCAGGUGGAUGGAUGGAUCAUGGGCAGGCAGGAGGGCAUUUACCAAUCAGUUUGGACUUAUUUUCCAAAAUGUAACACAAAUCUUAGCAACUUAUUCAGCCACGUUGAGGCAUACCAGGCAGGAAUUUAUUAGAAUAUGUGCCAUAUUCUCUAUCUGCUUGUCUGUUCUGCAAGCCUGUGUACCCAUGAUGCUGACAUAUUAAUGUAUCCCUGGCACCUAGCCCUAUCUGCAGCACACAAGCCACCCUGGCACAGCUGCAUGAAUUGAACAGAAUUGACAAUAUAAACACUGAGACCCAUUCAUGUUGUCUAGUCCAGAUUCUGAAAUACAGGAAUCUGGCUGGUCAUUCCAUUUCCCUUUGAAACAAUUAUUUUUUUGGAGGAGGAUUAUGGAGAGUUAAGGUGACCUCUGAGGUCCCGAUGCUUUUACCUGGAGAUAUCACAAGAUUAAACUGUCUUAUUGGGAAAAGCAAAUGGUGGAGGAAACUGGGGGAGAGCAGCCCCCUGCCAGCCUCCAUUACCCUCAGUGAUCCAACGCUUCUCAUUUGACCGAGAAAAGAGCACAAAACCCUGCCCCUCACAACUCUUGCCCUGGGAAACUCCUAAAAACAAGCCAGGUGUUCCAGGAUGUAGACACUGUGGAGAUCUUGAAAGUAUCUCUGUGUCCUAUUCAUCUUCCCAUCUCUGAACACCAAGUAGUGUCUGAGCUGGGGCAGGGGCUCUGGGACCAUCUGCUGAGACCUCAAGUGAGUGAAUUAAUGAACAAAUACAUGAAUGAAUGGGAUACCCUCCCUUACAAGUGGUUUUGGUAUAGAGAACAUGAAAUAAACUUUGGAGUCAUUAAUUUGGGUUCAAAUCCAGGUUUUGUUACUUAAUGGCUAUUGCCUUUGGGCAAACUCUUCAACUUCUGUAAACGUGUUUCUCAUAUGCAUGGUUAGCCUUCUAGCCAGCUCAAGAGGAUCCUACAAUUGAAGGCGGAGACAUAAUAAAAUCAAUGUCAAGGGCUCGCAGUGCCUGUAAACUGCUUAGUAUAACACCUUGAAUGCUCAAUAAAUUGUAACUACUCUUCUAUCUUCA